AUUGAACGCUGGCGGCAGGCCUAACACAUGCAAGUCGAGCGGAGAUGAGGUGCUUGCACCUUAUCUUAGCGGCGGACGGGUGAGUAAUGCUUAGGAAUCUGCCUAUUAGUGGGGGACAACAUUCCGAAAGGAAUGCUAAUACCGCAUACGCCCUACGGGGGAAAGCAGGGAAUCUUCGGACCUUGCGCUAAUAGAUGAGCCUAAGUCGGAUUAGCUAGUUGGUGGGGUAAAGGCCUACCAAGGCGACGAUCUGUAGCGGGUCUGAGAGGAUGAUCCGGCACACUGGGACUGAGACACGGCCCAGACUCCUACGGGAGGCAGCAGUGGGGAAUAUUGGACAAUGGGCGGAAGCCUGAUCCAGCCAUGCCGCGUGUGUGAAGAAGGCCUUUUGGUUGUAAAGCACUUUAAGCGAGGAGGAGGCUACCUGGAUUAAUACUCUAGGAUAGUGGACGUUACUCGCAGAAUAAGCACCGGCUAACUCUGUGCCAGCCGCCGCCGUAAAAC
rnacentral:rRNA from 1 species